ACAGACUAUCUAAAUUGGUUUAACCAAAGGUAUUGUUUUAAACCAGUGUAACCUUCUCAUGUAGUGUUCCUUGAAACUGCUGAAGUUAGCAAGCAGGAACCCAACAGGCUAGAAAUCUAUUGGCCUUUGUUGCCUUGUUGAUCUCCUUUUCCAUGUGUGAAAAUUGGUGUUUACUGUAUAUAGUUUUUAUUCAUGGUUAGAAGUGAUGUGUUAGUGGAAGAACUUUGGCCAAUUUUGAUCCGGAGGCCUGGCCUACACUACAAAGUUAGGUCGACAUAAGCAGCCUUGCGUCGACUUAAUUGUGCACGUGUGUACACUUAAAUUUGUCUCCUACUGACAUAAGCACCCUGUUACGCCGACAUAGUAACACUGCCUUCCUGAGCGGUAUAGUGCCAACGUUAAUGUAGCACAAGUGUAGAUGCUGCGUGACUGAUAUCGACCCUAACAGUUCUCUAGCAGGUAUCCCACAAUUUCUGAUGUUACUCCACUGCCCAAGUGUCACACACAGCAGAAGGCCCCAUGAAUUUGUGUUUUCCUGAUUGGCUUGGUGAGCACACCUAGCAGCUCUCCAUUGUUGUGUGCAGCUGACCAUGUUGGCUGCAUGCUCUAGAUAUGCUCUGGCUUGGCAUAGACAGGAGAUAUUGGCUCUCCUUAGCCUAUGGGGAGAAGAGGCUGUGCAGGCACAGCUACGGACUAGCUGUAGAAAUGUUGACAUCUAUGAAGGGAUUGUUCAGGGGAUGCUGGAAAAGAUGGGGACCAGCAGCAGUGCCAUGUGAAAGCGAAGGAGCUGUGGCAGGUGUAUCAGAAGGCCAGGAAGGCCAACAGUCAAUACAUUAUCAAGCCACAGACCUGCUACUUAUAUAAAGAGCUACAUGUGAAACUUGACAAAGGCACCACCACCCCACACACCGAUACUUCCAAGGACCCUGACCCACAGGACCCUGGCCUGAACAGCGAGGAGAAGGAAGAAGAGGAGGAUGGAGGAACUGGCAACUAGGGAGUCCAGCUGUGCCAUGAACCAGAACCUGUUUGAGACUCCACUGCAAUCCAGUCAGUCCUGGCAGCCAAGCACAGACAAGCCCAAUGCAGAGGAAGGAACCUCAGCUGCUGCCACUGCAGCUUUGAAAUUUCCCCCACCACACCCGGGGAACACCUGCGCCAGAUAAGGGAAAGAAGAGGACUUAGGAUGACAUGUUCAGUGAGAUCUUGCACGCCAGUGGUGCAUCAGACCAUGAGCACAUGGCCUGGAAGGUCAACAUUGCAGGCAGCCUGGAGAAGGAAAGAGGGGAAAGGACAGAGGUCUGGGAGUCCCAGCAGGAAAAGGAGAGUGAAAUACAUCAUGACAUAAUGGGGCUUCUCAGACAGCAAUCUCAGAUACUGCAACUCUGAUGGACUUAUAUGUUCAACAAUCCCGGGCUCACUUUCCUCUGCAACCCACUGAGAACUCCAUUAUGGGACCUCCUUGCCUUGCCCCCAACAUUCCACAUGGCAUCAGGGGCUGCUGCAUUGCCCGUACCACUCUACCCUGGGGUACAUUAAAGACAAUCACAGCUUCACAUACACUGACCUGUGAAAACCUCAGUUGGUCUGUGUAGCUGAAAUUGACGUGAAUGUUCUUUUUCCUUCAUAAAUUCUGUUCUUGUUAAUGUAUUACAUUUUAUUAAUUUUUAAUGCAUUUAUUUUAAAAUUGCACUUUUUGUACUGAUUUGGUAACAGAAUAAAAUUCUAUUAUUUAGAACAUAA